CAACUGGGUAAGUACAAUCUCUUCAGAAUUAUUAAGUAGGAGGUUUUUAAAGAUGAAACUCUGAUUUCAUUAUGAAUCUGUUUAAUCUAACAUAACUUCGUCUCAAAAAAACAAACAAACAAAAAAAAAAAACCAUUGAAUUUGAUGCUGUAAUAAAUCUUUAUUAUUAUCAAUUUUUGAAAAAAAACAAAAAACAAUUGAAGUUACAUUUUAUGAAGUCUAACUUUCAUCUGUAAUAAUACAAUGUCUUUGAAUUAUGCCUAAAUUUGUUUGGGAGAGUUUCUCAGAAAAUAUGUAAUUAUUAAAGAUAAAGUUAAUUACAUUUUAAUUCCAUUGACGUUCCUAAUGUAAAGUCAUUUCAGGUGGAAUGAUAUUGAAUAAAGUUGCCCUGUAUGUUUCUAUUAAAAAGUUUGAGAUUAGAUGUUUUUUUUAAAUAAUGUGAAGUCAGUUUUUGUAAUGUCUAAUAUAUAUCUUUAUCUGUAAUAAUGUCUUUGAAUUGUGCUCAUUUGUGAGUAGAUGUGUGAUAUUAAUUUGAUUCAAUUUUAUUUCGGUCGACAGCCCUAAUGUAAAGUAAUUUCUGGUGGAAUGACAUUUUGAAAUAAAGCUGCUUUUUAAAAACCAUAUUAAAUAAAUUUCAUAAUAGUCCUGGAUUAUUUGUGGUCUUAAGUGUUGUCAGGUGUUUUCUGUGAAAGUUGGCUGUUUUCAUUUUUAAUUCUUCACCCAUUUAACACGAUCCAAACAGCCUAGGCAAGGUUCUCGACAGAGUUUGGCUCCAUCAAAUGUUUUCACUGCAUGCUAGAAACACUCCAUAUAUGGUGUGAUCAGUAGGCACGUCAUGAUUACGUCAAUGAAAAUGUAAAAGAAAGCAACAGGGACAGGAAGCACUUUUUUUCUUAAUGUGAAGUCACUUUUGUAAUGGUUAAUCCAUGUAAUAAUAUAAUGCACUUGAAUUAUGCUCAUUUGGGAGCCUUUCUCAGCAAAUGUGUGAUUACUAAAGAUUAAUUAGAUUACAUUUUACGCUGGUUGACAGCUCUAAUGUAAAGCUAUUUCUGGUGGAAUGACGUAUUGAAUUAAGUUGCUUUUUAAAUAAACCAUAUUAAAUAAAAUCAUCCUGGAUUAUUUGUGAUUUUACAUGUGUCAGGUGUUUUCUGCAGAAGCUGGCUGUUUAAAUUUUUUAAUUCUUCACCCAUUUAAGAUGAUCCAAACAGCCUAGGCAAGUUUCUCAGCAGUGUUUGGCUCCAUCAUUUGCAUAUUUUAAGUGUUUUCCCGGCUAGAGAUCUUCUAGAGGAACUCCAUAUAUGAUGUGAUUAGUAGGUACGUCAUGUUUACGUCAAUGCAAUUGUAAGAGAAAGCAACAGGGACAGGAAACGGUUUUUUAAAUUUUUUUUAUGUGAAGUCACUUUUGUAAUGUUUAAUCCAUGUAACAAUAUAAUGUAUUUGAAUUAUGCUCAUUUGGGAGCCUUUCUCAGCAAUUGUGUGAUUAUUAAAGAUUAAUUAGAUUACAUUUUACGCUGGUUGACAGCUCUUAUGUAAAGCUAUUUCUGGUGGAAUGACAUAUUGUUUACGUCAUACAUGUUUACGUCAAUGCAAAUGUAAGGAAAAGGAAUAGGGACAAAGAUAUAAAGGUGUGAUGUGGUAUUUUGUGCUACAAAAUUAUUCAUACGAACAAUCUUGUGUAACAGAAUUGUUAAUUUUUAAAAAAUAAAGCUGAUUUCAUAAAUAAUCAUUAAUAUUGUAAAAAAUAUAUAUUAUAUUAGAGGUGUAGGCCUUCUUUUACUCUGUUUACAUGUAUUUGCUGCACUGUUAGACAUUUCAAAGGGUUUUUACAGUAACUUACUGGCAACACUGUUGCCAGUAAGUUACUGUAAUUAAGAUUUACAGUAGCAAACUGUAUUUGAUUUAGCAGUAUACUACUGUAAUUCAUUCAUUUUAAUAUAGAUUUCAUUAGAUUUUAUAAUUUUUAUAUAGAAUUCAUUUUAUUUUUACUCUACAUAGGUAUUCAAUUAAAACAGACACAAUAAUUAGUUAAUAAUUGCUAGUAAAAAACCAUUUUUAAUUUGUUAACAAUUCAAUAAGCUAACAAAAGUCGUUUGAAACGACAGCGCAGUUUACCAUGGUAAAGUUCUGUAACCGCCAUGUUGAAAAUUAAAAAAGUAAAUGUUACUAGGUUAAACUGGUGUGCAAAAAUCUGACACAAACACACAGACAAACGUACAUAUAUUUUUACCUUGCUUGCUGGUCUUAUUCUCUCGUAAGGUGCAUCGACACACAGCGCAGAUGUUCUCCGGAGCUCUCCCACUCUCGCGGGUUCAUCCCCGGGCAAAACCCGACAACAGACAACAAUAUAGAACCCAUUAUAUAUAUUAUCUACAGUGAAUGCGGACAGUAAACCGAUGCCCCGGUAUAUUUCUGACGUGCAGAUGCACUCCAAGCACUCGUGCUGUUUCUGACACGAAGUACAAACGGAUUUUCCAAUCAUUAGAAGCGAUGUAACACGUCCAGUGUAGUCAGUCCCAAGCUGCUGCGGCGUUGUAGACACGGUGCAGGGCAAAUUGUCAAUCCAAAUCUAAGAAAUGAGGAAAAUAAAACGACCUCAGUAUAAUGGCGCCAAAGAGACCAUUACAGUAGUAUACAGCAAUUUAAAAAAAUACAGUAAGUCUCUGUAUGUGGAGUCUGACGUCACAGAAAAUUCCCAUGAUGCAAAGAGUAUUACAGUUAUUUACUGUAAAGGUAAUUUGCAGUAUUACACUGGGUGAUAUACAGUAAAUAACUGUGGAAAUUACAGAAAUGUCUAACAGUGUGUAUACUAGGUGAAUACAGGUAAAGUAGGACCACAAAUGUUCUUGUGAUUCAUGUGAUCAUGACUCAUUUUUCUUACAGAAAAAAAAAAACCCUCAUUGUUUCUGUGGUCACUGAAAUCUAGCAUCAGCGUUAGUUCUGGCAGGUCAAGUUAGUCAAGCUCGCAUCAGCUGACUCUCAGCUGAUCCACAUCUACCUAUAGGGAUGCAACACCUAUCACAGCACUCAUAUAUAAGGUCCAUCAGUAUUAUCACCAGCUUCGCGUUGCUCAAUAGCUAAUUACCCACCUCCAUCCCCAACUCCUCCUCUGUCAGUCAGGAUUCAGCCUUCCGAUUCUCCUUUGAAUCGGACUAAUCUCUAAAAUGUUACAUUAAAUUACUGAACUUUAAUGAUAUCUGCAAUACAUUUUAUGUUGGUUCUGUUCUGUGUACCCUGGGGGGUUAUUGCUGCUCUUAUCCAUAGGCUGCAUGGAUGCACAGGAAGUUCUUCCCCAGAACAGAACCAGACCGCCAAUCCAAACUGUAUGCUAAUUGUCAGUCAUCUUUGACCAUAGUGGUCCUGACAGAAAUGAUUUAUUAGCAUCUCUCAAACAUCAUUCUGAGUUAUUCCUGGGAUUCGGAACUACAUAUGAUUCAUUUUCUAAAUGCCCCACAUAAUUAGGCACAUGUCAAACCUCCAAAAUAAAAUCAUAUUUUCCCACCUCAAGCAUUAACAACUUUUUAUUAUUUUCAGGUUUUUUUUUUUUCAGAUUGAGAUGGCUUUUUUCUCAACCCCGUAACGGACAAAAUUGGUUUAAAAAGGAUUUUACACAGAAUAUUUUGUUUUUAUAAAACAAACAUUACUGCUCACGUGUACUGCUCAAAUGUGACAACAAAUGUAACAUUUAUCACAUUUUUCACAUUUUUACAGGACUGCAGCUAAAAAUACACAAAUUGUGUGUCUAUGGUGACUUUAUUUUUGUAAAAAAUAUUUUUAAUUUAGAAGUUUAACUAAAACCACAAUUUUAUGGUUUUAGUCCUUAACAUGUCAGAUAAUAAUCGGCAAGAAAUGCUUUCAUUCUUAAUUGUCUUCCCUAUAUUUUUCCAAAAAUAUUAAUGUGACAGGGUUGAAGUCUGUAACACAUUUGAAGGGAUACAUUGCCUUCAAUUUAAACUUUUCGAUUUGUUUCUCUUUCAAAGUUUAAAUGGACAUAUUACAUCAAAAAAUCUAUUUAUAACAAAAAUAUGAGUUGUCGUGAUUUUGGUGAGUACUAUAUAUAUUUGCUGAAACCAUGACUAUUUUAUAUAUUUUUUUCAUUAAAAUUAUUAAUAAAUGAAAUAACUCAACUCAAAAAAAAAAAAAACUCAAAAGUUUACAACCCCAUAACAAUGAGAAAUACAUGUGACGGGGUUGAGGUUUUUCACUCAAAAUGGCCACUGCUAGACUGUAUAUGGCAGCAAUAAAACAUGUACAUUGUAUAUACUUAUGGAUUAAAAUAAAAUGUUGAAAAAUAAUCAUUUUCCAUCUUUGUUAACAGUACCCUCCCUGACUAUAAUAUGCCUCAAAAAUAUGAAUAAAAAGUAUGAUACUACUAACCAUUUUCUGCACCACUAUUAAGAGACCUGAAUGAUGUCAUUUCUAAAUUAUUAUGGGCGUAGAAUGGAUAGUGUGACAGGGUUGAGUUCAGACUGAGGGACGUAACUUUAAAGUCUGUUUUUUAUAAAAUAUCUUGCAGUUUUUUUUAGAAAAAUAUUCUUCACAAGAAAGGAACACAAAUAAAUGCUUACAUUAUGGCCAAAAAUCACAGACAUGCACAUUCUGUAAACUCAGUAAAGUGCCUCAAGGACAUGACAAAAUGCUUGGUUUAAGAUAGAUACAAGACAUUAUUUUAUCCUAAAAAAUACUAAAAUGUAACAAUUAUUUUUAUUCAUUAUAAUGGGCAUACCAAUAUUGUGAAAAGCUUUGAACAAUUAAUUUUGGUAAACCACCACUUUAGAAAAUAUUACCGAAUCCCAUGACUCCUAACAAUUUUGUCUGCGCUUUGAAAUGGGAAUUUUUUUUUCUUUAAAAAAAUUUUGUUCUUUAUUUAUUUGGAAUCAUUUUACAUAUGACAGUGACAUGCAGGAUAUGAUAUAAAUACCAGGCUAAAAAAAAAAAAAAAAAAACAGCCAAAGCAGGUUUGCAGGUUUUCUCCCCAUCAUUCUUAUUUAGAGGGGUUUGAUACACUUUUCAAGUGGUCAGCAAAUCACCUUUUGUUAAAAAAAAAGAAAGAAAAAAAGAAAGAAACAGAGAUAUAAACCAUCUCUAAACCUUUUGUAAGUGUUCUGAUGUUGUGUAAAAAAUCUUUGGGCCAAGUUUAAUCCAGUAAUCAAGCAUGGCAGCUGCAAUUGGAACAUGUAUUUAUAUUGUGCAAUCAAGAAGAAUAUAAUUGUUUGUCUUCAAUGAUAUCAUAGGUUCAGAUUCUACCAUGAUGCAUAGGUAUAACAAUGUUAUACAGGAGAAGCAGAGAGAAAGGUACUCUUCUUAGAUAACGUACAAAUAAAGGUCAUUUUUAUCUCUUUAGUUACUAUGUGGAGCAUGGGGAUCGCUACAAGACGGCUUAAUGAAUUUGUUUUUGUGAAAACCUUAAAUUCGACAAAAACUGACAUUUUUCACUUCUUUUGUCUGUAGCUCAAAAUUAAACAGUGAGAAUCUGACUCAUUUUGCCAGCACGGGUCACAAUUGUAGAUGAUGUUAUGAAACAAUCUGACAUCUUUUCACAGAUACAAUAAAGGACAGUUUUCACCCAUGGCUGAAAAAAUGGAAUUACAGGGACAAAGAAAAAGUAGGGUGGCCAUCAAAGAUGAAGGGAGAAGAAAGGAGUGCACGACCGCCACUGAAACAAUAACAUCAUCAG